CCUUGAAGAAUUCAGCAGUGGUUACAUUUUACAGAUUUGUUUUCAGUUGUGUAUAAGACAGAUGAUUUUGACUGUAUGCAUCUGUGUUGAGAACAGGAACAGUUGUUAUCAAAUGACAUGGCUCAAACACUGAACCACAGUUUCCCUACACACUGCUCAGUCAAGACUUCAAUCUGACUUUCCUUUUUACCUCAUGGGAGCUUUGCCAUGUGUGAUGUGCAUUACUUAUGCAGGGCAAGAUACAGUAUGACUCAGGACACAGUCGUCUGCCUCCAGUCUCUUCUUCUUGGUGACUGUGUCCAGUGUGCUUACCGUGCCUUUUUCUUUCAGGUCUAAUGUCAACUACAUCCCUCCACCCCAAGAGCCCCAGGAUUUCAAACACACCCAGUCGUUCAUGCUCUGAGAAGCUGGCCUUCAUUCAAGACAUCACCCUUGUUAUAAGGUGCCAACACUGGACACCGAUUUCUCUCUCUCUCUGGACUCUGAAUGAGCUCUUGAUCUUCCAGAACUUGCUAAUUUCAAUCUUCUUCCUCUGCCACCCCUUGGGUUAUGGCAAGCGAAUUUGCAAAGCUUCUUACUCUUGUGCUUUGCUGUGUGGUUUUGCCUCUCUUGCUGACAUUUUCUGCUCUUACAAGAUUCAAGUUUUGUGACACACUGCUCCCCCCUGGUGGUCAGAUGUUGAAAUUCCAACUGAGCUCAUUUGAAUGAUCCAGGGACAAGUUGAGCUUUCUACACAUUUUUUUUUCUGCAGGCCAAUCAUUUUAACUACCUUUGAUUUCUUUUACCAAAGACUGACUUUAAUGGAUUUUUUGCUUUAAAAGUUAAACCCCCAUAAGGGAUUUCUCCUUAAACUCACAGGGAAAGCAUUUCAGUCAUUUUCAAUUUAUUCAAACAUAAAGACAGUUUACCUCAGCCAGUAAUUUGUCUCUGUCACUGGAGCUCUGGUUUUCCAAGGGCCACAGUGUCAGAACAUGAAAGCAGAAGCAGGAGGCCGAUCCAGCCGGUUAUACUGAGACCAACCCCAUUCCAUCCUAAUGUGCCUGCAUGGUCUUUUUAAAAUAUAUAUUCCUUGUGCCUUUUUAAUUUGUCUCUCAUUUAUCUAUGGAAUCACAGUUUUUUGUGAAGAACUUGCCUUACUUUUCUGUCUUUAAAUUUGUUGUGCCACUGUUUCUCAAAUUGAAGUGUCUGUUUUUAGAUUGAAUGGAUUGUUCAGAGUUUUAUUUGAAUGAUGUCUCAGUAAUAAAGUUUUUUUUAUUCCAGA